AACAUUUUGUUUUUGUGGGCAUAUGUUUUAAUUUCUCUUGGAUAAACCCCCAAGGGUGGCAUUACUGAGUCAGAGAGUAGGUGUAUGUUUAACUUUAUAAGUAACCAUCAGACCUUUUUCCAGACCUUACACUGUUUUGCAUUCCCACCGGCAAUAUCUGUGCAUUCCAGUUGCUCUACAAUCUCAUCAACAUUUAACAUUUCAUUGUUGUCAGGCUUUUAAAAUGUAGCCAUUCCAGUCAGUGUAUAGUGGUUGGUAAUUUGCUUUACUCUAAUAACUAGUGAUGUCAAACAGUGUUCCAUGUGCUUAUUUGUAUUCACACAUCUUCUCUUGUAAAGUAUCUGUUCAAGCCUUUUGCCCAUUUGUAAUGGAGUUGCUUGUCCUUUUAUUAUUGAAUCAUAGAAGUUCUUUGUAUAUUCUAAUGAAAAGUCCUUUGUUAGAUGUAUGUAUUCUGAAUAUUUUCUCCAAAUCUUUGGUCUAUUAAUUUUCUUAAUGGUGUCCUUUUAUCAGAUUUAUUAGAGCAUAGUGUAUAUAAGAGUCACCAAUUUAAAAUGUACAAUUCAAUGAGUUUUUGACAAAUGUACACAGUUUUGUAACUACCACAAAAAGCAUCAUAUAGAACACUUCCUUCAGUCCUAAAAGUUCCCUUAUGCUCUUUUAUAGUGAAUCCCUAGCUCCUGAAAAUCACUGAUCCUCUUACUGGCACUGUAGUUUUGCUUCUUCUAAAAUUUCACGUAAGCAGAAUCUUGCAGUAUGUAAUCUUUUAUGUCUAGUUUCUUCCACUCAGCAUAAUGUUUUUGAGAUUCAUCCAUGUUGUUGUGUGUAAAAGCUGUUCCUCUUUUUGAUGAAUAGUAUCUCAUUGUAUGGAUAUUCCACAAUUUAUCAAUUUAACCAUUUGAUGGAUAUUUGGGUAUUUGCAUUUGCAGCUAAUAUAGGUAAAGCUGCUAUGAAUAUUUAUGUAAAUGUCUAUAUGUGUUUAUUUUCAUUUCCCCAGGGUAACUACCUUGGAGUGGGUUUGUUGGGUCAUAUAAUAAGAAUACAUUUAACUUCAUAAGUGAAUCAAACUGUUUUCCGAAGUGACCAUUUUGCAUUCCUACCAUCUCAUAGGACUCCAGUUGCUCCUCAUCCUGUCAACAUGGACAAUCAGUCAGUCUUUUUAAAUUUUAGCCAUUCAACUAGCUGUAGAGUGGUCUUUCCAUGUGAUUUUAAUUUGUGUUUUUGUAGUGACUAAUGUUGAGCUUCUUUCAUGUGCUUAUUUUCCAUUCAUUUAUGUUUGUUGGUAAAAUGUCUCUCCAAGCCUUUUGCCCAGUUUUUAAUCAGGUUGUUUGUCCGCUUAUUGAGUGGGAAGAGUUUUUGAUGUUUUUUAAAAAAUAUUCUGGAUCCAAGUCCUUUAUGAGAUUGUAUUCUGCAAAUAUUUUCUACCCCAUUGUGGCUUGCCUUUUCAUUUUUUUAACUGUCUUGUAAAAAACAAAAAGUUUUCAUCUUGAUGAAGUCCCAUGUAUCGCUUUUUCUUUUUAUUGUAGGGAUUGUGCUUUCUGUGUCCUAUCUAAGAAAUCUUGGCUAAUCCAAGGUCACAAAGAUUUUAGGUUUUUGACCCACCAUUUCGAGUUAAUUGUUGUUUAUGGUACAAGAGAAAGAUAUAUUUUUUUCUUUUUAGAUAUCCAAUUGUCCCAGCACCAUUUGUUGAAAAGAUGAUCAUUUCCCCCAUUGAAUUACCUUGGCACUGUUAUGAAAAUCAAUUAACCAUAUAUAUUGUUGUGCUGCACACCUCCUCACAGCUCCGGCAUCAGUGACCACAUAGGUAACCUGAAAUUGACCGUGCAUUUUGAAGAUACUGCUCAACUGAGUCCCAGCCCCCAUCAUUUAUGAGAAGUCGGCCAUCACUGUAUAAGUGUUCCUCUCUGGGUGUUUUUAGUAUACUCUCUUUACUUUGGGUUUCAUCAGUUUGAUCAUCAUAUGCCGAGAUGUGGUUUUCUUCAUAUUUACCUUAAUUAGAUUUAAUGAGCUUCUUGUAUUUCUAAGUUGAUUCCUUUCACUAAAUUUGUAAAGUUUUGAGUCAUUAUUUCUUUAAGUUUUUCUGACCCAUUCUCACUCUCCAUUCAUGUUAGACUGUUUGAUGUUGUCCCACAGACCUCUGAGG